rnacentral:rRNA from 1 species
UACGAAGGGGGCUAGCGUUGCUCGGAAUUACUGGGCGUAAAGGGCGCGUAGGCGGUUCUAUAAGUCAGGCGUGAAAUUCCUGGGCUUAACCUGGGGGCUGCGCUUGAGACUGUGGGACUUGAGGUCAGAAGAGGGUCGUGGAAUUCCCAGUGUAGAGGUGAAAUUCGUAGAUAUUGGGAAGAACACCGGUGGCGAGGGCGGCGACCUGGUCUGAUACUGACGCUGAGGCGCGACAGCGUGGGGAGCAAACAGG